rnacentral:lncRNA from 1 species
AAAGAAUUGCUUCUUAAUUACCACGAUAAUGAUAUGGUAAUUGAAGAAAAUGUCUUUGAUAUCAGCAGUGCAGAUGUAGGUGUGAGAUGAUAUCUAGGAAUUACUUUAAAAUACAUCAGGAAAUAUUAACCAAUCAAAAUAGAUUGGGGAAGUAGCUUAAUGGUAGAGCACUUGCCUAACACAGGCAAGAUUUCCCAAGCACUGCGGGGGAGAGGGGGAUUUUUUGAGAGGAAUGAGUGAUGGAGGAAAUGAAAUUGGCUAUGAUGUGUAGAAGUUGGGGGACAGAUGUAUGGGGAUGUACUACACUAUCUCUGCCUUGAUAUAUGGAUAUAUGUUUAACUUCCUUCAAAAGUUUUUUUAAAUACUUAAGGAAAGGGCUGGGGUUAUAGCUCAGUGGUGGAGCGCUUGCCUCCCACAUGUGAGGCAGGCACUGAGUUCAAUCCUCAGCACCACAUAAAAAUACAUAAAUAAAGAUAUUCUGUCCAUCUAAAAAUUGUGUGUGUGUGUGUAUGUGUGUGC